ACGAACGCUGGCGGCAUGCCUAACCCAUGCAAGUCGAACGAGACCUUUGGGUCUAGUGGCGCACGGGUGCGUUACGCGUGGGAACCCGCCCUUAGGUUUGGAAUAACUCCCCGAAAGGGGUGCUAAUACCGGAUAAUGUCUUCGGACCAAAGAUUUAUUGCCUUUGGAUGGGCCCGCGUUGGAUUAGCUAGUUGGUAGGGUAAAAGCCUACCAAGGCGACGAUCCAUAGCUGGUCUGAGAGGAUGAUCAGCCACACUGGGACUGAGACACGGCCCAGACUCCUACGGGAAGCAGCAGUGGGGAAUAUUGGACAAUGGGCGAAAGCCUGAUCCAGCAAUGCCGCGUGAGUGAUGAAGGCCUUAGGGUUGUAAAGCUCUUUUACCCGGGAUGAUAAUGACAGUACCGGGAGAAUAAGCUCCGGCUAACUCCGUG
rnacentral:rRNA from 1 species